rnacentral:tRNA from 1 species
UUAAUUGAAGCCAAAAGAGAGGCGUAUUACUGUUAAUAAUAAAAAUGAACCAAAGUUCCAAUUAAA